rnacentral:rRNA from 1 species
UACGUAGGGCGCAAGCGUUGUCCGGAAUUAUUGGGCGUAAAGAGCUCGUAGGCGGCUUGUCACGUCGGAUGUGAAAGCCCGGGGCUUAACCCCGGGUCUGCAUUCGAUACGGGCUAGCUAGAGUGUGGUAGGGGAGAUCGGAAUUCCUGGUGUAGCGGUGAAAUGCGCAGAUAUCAGGAGGAGCACCGGUGGCGAAGGCGGAUCUCUGGGCCAUUACUGACGCUGAGGAGCGAAAGCGUGGGGAGCGAACAGG